rnacentral:lncRNA from 1 species
AAGAAUAGCAGAACUCAAACUUUAAGAUAUUUUUCAGAAUGUUUCCUAAAUACUUCAAACCAGUCUUAAGAAACGGACACUUUCACUUUAUCAGCAAAGAAGUUUAAAGGUAAAAAAAUUCCACUUCAAAAAAAUCUGUUUUGUUGGGUUGUAUGAUAUAAGUGCAAGGUUUUGUUUCCAUAAAUAAAAGAGAAUUUUAAAAGUUUUUGUUUUAAUAUUAAGGAUAUUCGUUUAUUCUUUAUUCUAUUAACGUUCACUUUCAAAAUAUUUAGGUAAUGAACAGGAAUCGCCUAAAUAAAAAAAGGAUAUUCUCUGAACUG